GUGGGGAAUCUUCCGCAAUGGACGAAAGUCUGACGGAGCAACGCCGCGUGAGUGAUGAAGGUCUUCGGAUUGUAAAGCUCUGUUAAUCGGGACGAAAGAGCCUAGUGUGAAUAAUGCUAUGAAGUGACGGUACCGGAAUAGAAAGCCACGGCUAACUACGUGCCAGCAGCCGCGGUAAUACGUAGGUGGCAAGCGUUGUCCGGAAUUAUUGGGCGUAAAGCGCGCGCAGGCGGAUCUGCCAGUCUGUCUUAAAAGUUCGGGGCUUAACCCCGUGAUGGGAUGGAAACUACAGAUCUAGAGUAUCGGAGAGGAAAGUGGAAUUCCUAGUGUAGCGGUGAAAUGCGUAGAUAUUAGGAAGAACACCAGUGGCGAAGGCGACUUUCUGGACGAAAACUGACGCUGAGGCGCGAAAGCUAGGGGAGCGAACGGGAUUAGAAACCCGGGUAGUCC
rnacentral:rRNA from 1 species